GACGAACGCUGGCGGCGUGCUUAACACAUGCAAGUCGAACGGAAAGGCCCUGCUUUUGUGGGGUGCUCGAGUGGCGAACGGGUGAGUAACACGUGAGUAACCUGCCCUUGACUUUGGGGUAACUUCAGGAAACUGGGGCUAAUACCGGAUAGGAUCUCCUGCUUCAUGGUGGGGGUUGGAAAGUUUCGGCGGUUGGGGAUGGACUCGCGGCUUAUCAGCUUGUUGGUGGGGUAGUGGCUUACCAAGGCUUUGACCGGUAGCCGGCCUGAGAGGGUGACCGGAUAAAUCGGGAUGGAGAUGAGGCACGGACUAGUACGGGAGGCAGGGGUGGAGUAUAGAGCACAAUGGGAGGAAGGAUGGCGCAGCAACGCCGCGUGCGGGAUGACGGGAUUGGGGUAGUAAACCGAUGUCGCCUGUGACGAGGCGUGAGUGACGGUAAUGGGUAAAGAAGCACCGGCUAACUACGUG
rnacentral:rRNA from 1 species